UUUUUGAGUCUAAAAAGAAACCACGAUCCCGUCUGAUCUCAGAAGCUAAGCAGGGUCGGGCCUGGUUAGUACUUGGAUGGGAGACCACCUAGGAAGACCAGGUGCUGUAGGCA
rnacentral:rRNA from 1 species